GUUGCGACUCAGUGGUAGAGUGCUUGCCUAGUAUGUGUGAGGCACUGGGUUCAAUCCUCAGCACAACA
rnacentral:tRNA from 1 species